GGGCACUCAGGGUCAUGGAUUUUCCUUCCUCUAUGGGCUGGGAAAGCUAAAAACUGAAAAGAAGUUCCUCUAAAGGAAGGGAAGAGAAUGGUGGGCUGGUUCUUUGCUGGCUCAUCCCACUAUUUAGUGAGAGGCCACGAAGUCAAACAUGAUAGCCUUCCAAAGUGGCAGUGGCCUUUACAACGAUAAAACACGCGUGUAGAUCAAAUGUGAACACCUAAGACAUUUAAAGAAGGCCGCAUUACAUAUGAAACAAGAGGAAAGUGUGAAGCCCAGCUAGGCUCCCACUACCCUCGCUCUUUCCGGUUUCCCACUCUCCGGGAAUAGCUCAUUACUAAAGGCCCCAGAAAAGAAGAAGACUCCGCACUGCAGGUGUCUACAAUGGGAGUAAACACUCCCUACCCCCUCCACAUCUUAGGAAAGACAACCUCCCCUAAGCCAAACCCCAGAGCCUGUCAAAGAGGACCUGCUUCCUGGGACUCCUCACUAUGGACAGAAUGCCAGCUGAAUAGGUCAGGGUUGACCAGAAGAGAGCCAGAAAGCGCGCUUGAAUUCCAGCUGUUUGCUCUGACCCUCCCUAGGACUUGUGAGCCAGGGGCAAGAACGCAGAGUGCAGCCAGAAGGGGGACCACGCAUCUUCCAACGGUGCCCAGCCUCAUAGCAAAAAGAGGGCCAAGGCAGGACCAGAAGAAAUUUUGUUCUGCGGCUCAAUUUAUUUUGCGACUGGCAUGACCUGUCCACGGGAUGACAUGUUAACAUGUCAACCAAAGCACAGAAAAUAUUCACUUUUCUGGGGAUCUGUACUGGCAUCUGUUGUGUGUUUCUCCGUGGGUCACCGGAGCACUAUAGUGGGAACAAAAUCGGGAGAUGCCCUGAAACAAUACAAUUAGGACUGAUUAUUAGCACAGCUAGUGGGCCCGAGUGACCUGAAAGUGCCCGUGUUAGAUAAAGUUAGCUGCUUUCUCUGCGGAGUCCCUGCUACCACCGCCUUCCUUUCCUGGAGAUGCAUGGAGAAUCCAUUUCAAGUCAUCCCCUCCUUGCAUUACCCUGAAGACAGCGUAGAGAUGAACUAUUUCAUGUUUAAAACAUAAUGACAAAAUGACUUUAGUGGGCUCUGGGAGACGUGGCAAUCAAGUGAAGAGAAAGCGAUUUUUCCUGGAUUGGGAGACUUGCUUUGGCUGUGGACCACAGGCGAAUUCCUUCUGUUGUCGCCCCUAAAUGGGAGAUGAGCGAAGUCACUUCCCAGUUGACUAGAUUGAGGACAUUUCAAACAGGUAUUUUCAACUGAAUUUCCAGUCCAGACUAGGAUGUCUCAGCCCGCAUUUUGGCAUGGGUCAACGGAGCCCUGCAGGCUUCAAGCAGCUUAACAGCGGUCGACCCACCUGCAUCGGUCUCCAGCCAGGUGCCAACAAGCAGUGCUUCUUCUUGCUGCCUGCCCUUGACUCUCAUUGGAGAUUGGACAGGAGCAGCAGAAAAGAAGAAAGAAGAGAGGACAGAAAACACAGGGUUAAACUUGUAGUUUCCCUGUAAGAUGAGCCAUGGCUUCUGGCCAUAGCAUGCAUAUGAUCAGUGUGUUUCAUCAUGGAACUGCUAAGGCACGUGAAUGUUUGGGGAUAAAGGUAUUAGGUGCAUAGAAGACACCAUUAUUUCUAUUAGAGCAAAUUAGUCUCAUUUAGAAAAUGUACCCCUAGGCUAAAAGAAAAAAAAACAAAACAGUACGCUGAAUUCUAUAGAAGGAAUGAAUGACACACACUUGGAUGACACUACAUAAAAGUGCAUUUCCUCCCAUCUUCUGGGAAAGUUUCUUGUGUCAAUAAAAUGAUGAGGGCAAAGUUAUACAGUCUGGACAAGUCACCAGAACCCAAGGUAUAAUUUGAAGUCCCAUAACUCUACCACCCAGCUGUCAUAAAAAUUACAAACAAAUGUAUUUGUAAGGCAUACUGAAAACAUAUUUCUCAUCAUUGACUGAAACUUUAAUUAACUAAUCAUCCAGAAAGGCAAAUGAAAAUACUUGAAAAAAAAAACACAACAACAGUAUCUCAGAACAGAAUAUAAGCAGCUGAAGUGUG
rnacentral:lncRNA from 1 species